rnacentral:rRNA from 12 species
ACAUACGACCAUAGCUCUCAGAGAACUCGGGAUCCCGUCUGCUCUCCUGUAGAUAAGCUGACAAGCGGCCGAUUAGUAGUUGGGUCGGUGACGACCAGCGAAUACCGGCUGUUGUAUGU